rnacentral:rRNA from 2 species
AGAGUUUGAUCAUGGCUCAGAUUGAACGCUGGCGGCAGGCCUAACACAUGCAAGUCGAACGGUAACAGGAAGAAGCUUGCUUCUUUGCUGACGAGUGGCGGACGGGUGAGUAAUGUCUGGGAAACUGCCUGAUGGAGGGGGAUAACUACUGGAAACGGUAGCUAAUACCGCAUAACGUCGCAAGACCAAAGAGGGGGACCUUCGGGCCUCUUGCCAUCGGAUGUGCCCAGAUGGGAUUAGCUAGUAGGUGGGGUAACGGCUCACCUAGGCGACGAUCCCUAGCUGGUCUGAGAGGAUGACCAGCCACACUGGAACUGAGACACGGUCCAGACUCCUACGGGAGGCAGCAGUGGGGAAUAUUGCACAAUGGGCGCAAGCCUGAUGCAGCCAUGCCGCGUGUAUGAAGAAGGCCUUCGGGUUGUAAAGUACUUUCAGCGGGGAGGAAGGGAGUAAAGUUAAUACCUUUGCUCAUUGACGUUACCCGCAGAAGAAGCACCGGCUAACUCCGUGCCAGCAGCCGCGGUAAUACGGAGGGUGCAAGCGUUAAUCGGAAUUACUGGGCGUAAAGCGCACGCAGGCGGUUUGUUAAGUCAGAUGUGAAAUCCCCGGGCUCAACCUGGGAACUGCAUCUGAUACUGGCAAGCUUGAGUCUCGUAGAGGGGGGUAGAAUUCCAGGUGUAGCGGUGAAAUGCGUAGAGAUCUGGAGGAAUACCGGUGGCGAAGGCGGCCCCCUGGACGAAGACUGACGCUCAGGUGCGAAAGCGUGGGGAGCAAACAGGAUUAGAUACCCUGGUAGUCCACGCCGUAAACGAUGUCGACUUGGAGGUUGUGCCCUUGAGGCGUGGCUUCCGGAGCUAACGCGUUAAGUCGACCGCCUGGGGAGUACGGCCGCAAGGUUAAAACUCAAAUGAAUUGACGGGGGCCCGCACAAGCGGUGGAGCAUGUGGUUUAAUUCGAUGCAACGCGAAGAACCUUACCUGGUCUUGACAUCCACGGAAGUUUUCAGAGAUGAGAAUGUGCCUUCGGGAACCGUGAGACAGGUGCUGCAUGGCUGUCGUCAGCUCGUGUUGUGAAAUGUUGGGUUAAGUCCCGCAACGAGCGCAACCCUUAUCCUUUGUUGCCAGCGGUCCGGCCGGGAACUCAAAGGAGACUGCCAGUGAUAAACUGGAGGAAGGUGGGAUGACGUCAAGUCAUCAUGGCCCUUACGACCAGGGCUACACACGUGCUACAAUGGCGCAUACAAAGAGAAGCGACCUCGCGAGAGCAAGCGGACCUCAUAAAGUGCGUCGUAGUCCGGAUUGGAGUCUGCAACUCGACUCCAUGAAGUCGGAAUCGCUAGUAAUCGUGGAUCAGAAUGCCACGGUGAAUACGUUCCCGGGCCUUGUACACACCGCCCGUCACACCAUGGGAGUGGGUUGCAAAAGAAGUAGGUAGCUUAACCUUCGGGAGGGCGCUUACCACUUUGUGAUUCAUGACUGGGGUGAAGUCGUAACAAGGUAACCGUAGGGGAACCUGCGGUUGGAUCACCU